rnacentral:lncRNA from 1 species
CGCCGCCGCGGGGCCUCCGACUGCGCACCCGGCCAGGUUCCGGAGAGCGGGCAGGGAGCGCGGGCCGAGGCUGCCCUCGCGCCCCUGGCUGCCGGCCUAAGGGCUCGCUCGCACGCACGCCUCCGCUCGUCACCCUCGCCUUGCCGGCGUGCGGACAGGGCCUGCGGCGGUGGGAAAUCUGGGAAAUCGGAGCGCAGCGCAGGACCGCGCGGGAGGCCGGCGGGACGCAGCGCGCACAGACCCCGGUGAGUGGCUGCGGCGCUGACGGUCGCGCGCCGGGCUUGGCCUCUCUGCCAGGGUCUCGGGUGGAGAGGAGGGCGGGGGUGUCUCCAGUCUCCACAGGUCGUCGCGAGGAGCCGCACGGCCGUGCCCCGGAGCCAGCUGGGGCGAGAGGCGUGUGCCGGGCUCUGAGCGGGACCUGCGGCUUCUUCAAAGCCCCGGACCGCAAGGGUUUCUCCCGACUCCGCGCUCCCCGCUGGCCUCCCUCUCCCUCUCCCGGCCCUUCGCCGCCCGCAGGGGACGCCUGGUCGCCUCGGGGCGCCAGGCCCGUCCCUGCCAGGAGCUGGGGGCUUAGCCUGCCCCGCUGUCGCCGCCUCUCCACGAAGAGCAGAGCUCCUGGGAGAGCAGAGCCUCCUUCCGCCCUGUGCUUUCGGCCAGGCCCCGCCGGCGGACACCUCGGGCGCGGAGGGAAGGUCCAGGGUAGGCCCUGGGCGCGGCGGUCUCGGGUAUUCUCGGACCCGGCCGCCGCACACAGCCGCCUCCGCGCCCUCCGCCCCUGCCUUUCCCGGAGCGCUGUGGCACCGCUCGGACCCCAGCCUGGGGCAUCACGCACCCUCGCUGGACGCCCUCGCGCACUCGCAUUCUCUUCCCGCUGUGUCCCCUCGCCCCCAGGGAGGGACGUCAGGGACGGAAUAGCUGAGUUUCCCCGAAAUGGAGUAACUUCCUUUCCUGUUCCUGCUCCUCCACUCGUGGGGACCCCCAGAGUGAGGGGAAUCUACUGAAGGCGAAAUUGGGGAGCCCUUUUCUAGCAGCCGCCUUCCCCUGUAGGCUCUGUCCGGUUUAGGGGUCUUGGGGUCCCAUCUUUGGCUCACCCAGAAUUCAGUUUUCCUGCCCCCCUUUGUCCUUCACAGGCUUCCCUGGGGGGGGAGGGGAGCUUCUUAGGUUUGGGGGCAGAGAGCUGUGCCUGUGGGUGGAAGUAUGGUGUGGGGGCCACGUUACUCACUCACUCAGGCCCCAGCAGCGAAGCAGACUCUGCCUGGACCCCAGGGCCUUGAGGUGUGGAGCUAGAGUCCCAGGGAUGCCCAGGGCCGGCGCUCGCCAAAUCCUGCUCUCUCCUGGGGUGGCAGAGGAGGUGGGAGCCUGAGAGGGGAGGGGGGAACCACAGCCACAGCCACGCAAGGAGACUUUUCUGUGAGGAGCCAAGUUCUUGGUUCUCCAGAUGCCAGAGAGGUUUCCCUUAACCAGACACUUUUGAGGUGAGGACACUGAGCCCCAGAGGGGACUUGGGCCUGGCCAGCCCAGCUCAGCUGGCGGGGUUGGGCUGCCAGUGACCUUCCCUCCAAGCCCUCCUCUCUCCAAGCACGGAGGGUGGUGGCCUCUCUUCCCCCUGCCUCCUUGUGGUCAGAGAGAGUGGGCUUUUGGAAGGCUUCAUCGGCGCACAGCCUGGCUUUCCAGCUCCAGGGGAAAGAGACUCAUGGGAAAACCGUGGUAUUAAGAUGGUUACCACAGGGCCAGGGGUGUAGCUGAGCGGCUCAGCGCCUGCCUGGCAAGCUCGAGGCCCUCAGAUCGAUUCCCGGUAUAAUAUAAAAUAAAAUAGUUAGACAACCACAGCCGCAGGACAGGAAGCAGGCUGCUCGGUGGCUCACUAUGUGGUACUGGGCGCAUCACUCCUUAGACGGGUCCCAAAGGGGCUUGAACCCCUUUGAUGAUGUGGGGAGUUUGAUAACUUGGGUGAUUACUGUCCUGCCUGCACCCACUCCCAAGGUGCAUAACCGUGACACCUCUGCGGGGGUUUUCUUUGAGGUCUUGCGGGAAGCAUGGAACUCAUUCGUAAACCUACACCCCACCCACAAGCACAGAAUUGUAACUGUCCCUCCACAGUUGUUUGAUCUCGCGGGAACUCCUCCAAGUCAGCACCCCCUCCCUUAGUGAUGGGGCUCAGGGGGGUUGCUCGAUCCUCCACGACCCUGCAGGGCCAGGACCCAAACUGGACCCCCCCACACACCAGGAUAAGGGCAGGGAGACCCUGCACAUCAGAUUCACAGGGUGGAUGGAGAUCCAGCCCCCCAACCCCGCGGGAUGCCACCUAAGCUGACUCUUUCUCUGAAAGUGGAACCCGUAAUGCUGCCCACUCUUAGGCUCAGGGGAGGGUGCAGCAGGGCAGGGAGCUGGGGGACCCUUUCAAAUGGGAGCGAGGCCUCAGGGGCUCAGCCUGCGAGAAAACACUGCCUUUAGCUUAAAAUCUGCAGACACCUCUCCCAUCCUAAGUCAAAGCUGUGUGCGCCCCCAUGCAGGCAGAGGAACCCCCAGAACUGGGGUGGGUGGGUAAGAGACAUGCCCGCGUCGCGUCCACUCCCCAGGCCCGAGGUAUUUUCACUGGCUAAUUGCUUAAGUGAAGCCGCCGGGCGCGAGCGCCGUAACCCGAGCUCCGAACCAGAUCCGGCUCUCGGUGUGCGCCGGCCGCCGACCACCCACCGCGAGGGCAGCCGCCCUGCCUGACGCCCCUGCUCCGCAUUAGCCCGCUUCGCCCCCCACCCCUGCUCCUCGCAGCCCCGCAAGCUUCGUCCCUUGGUAGGUAGGGUGGCCGGGCUGCACCAACGGGGUGCGGGGCAGUGGGGAAGUGGAGUCCUGGGGCUCUGGUAGGGACGGCAGCUUCGGUGCGGCCUGGGUCUAGGGGUGUGUGUUGGGCUUGGUACCCAGAACUGCAGGGGGAAGGUCAGGGUCGGGGGGAGGAGGGUGGCCUGCUUGGAUCACAGCUGACCUGCGUGCAGAGUCUGCAGGGGCUUGGACCUGCAGACUGGUGCCAAAACAGAACCCGGCUGCAGGGCAUCCCCCGGAAGCUGGGCGCAGAGAGGCUUCUGAGGACAGCAGAGAGCCAGCACAGGGGCUCCCUGUGUGUCGCCAUUUUAAGAUGUUCUGUUUAACGGUCUAACAGGCACUCGCAGAAACACCCCAGAAUACUAUGGCGCGCUGGGCACCGAGCAGUGUAAAUGAGCAUGCAAGGGGACAGUGCCGUGUGCAGUCAGGAUGGUCCAGGCAGCCCGCUGCUCAGGUUGGCGUAGUCUGAGUGUGCCACACAGCGUGUUCCGAGCUCCGCAGGCCCCGUUGUCACACGCAGAGGAUCAGAGGACAUGUGGAGACGUGUGCCAGUGCAGGGUGCCUCGUUAGGCCAAGGGGUCACAGGGGUGACACAGCAGCAUCAGCCGCAGCCGCAGGCAGAGGGAUCUGCAGGGCGAUGCGCGUCCCCCAGGUGUCAGGCACGCUUUCAGGGCGUGUGACACGGGGUGGACAUGGUGCAAGCGUGACAGCGGACCGGACUGUGGCCAAGGACACCUGCCAGCCCUUGCUAGGCAGGGUAGGGCCUCCCCACUCACAGAACUCCCACCCUGAUCCCGAAGGCAGGGUCUGCUUUGAUCUCGGGUUCCAAAACACAAUGACACACCUACUUUAUUUCUAUGGUGACAGAUGGGCCCCUGAGAGAUGGGGUCCUGCACGGUACAGAGAUGUGGGGACCCUGUUCGCCCCGUGUGAGCCCUGACAGGGGAUUCCCCUCUCCGUAGCUGCAGAAAGGAGGUGCACGAUAAGGGAGGUGUGCAGAGGGGGCCCGCAGUAUCGGCGCGGCAGGGAAAGCCCUCCUUUGGGAUGACCUGCAGUGUCCCUUGCUGCCUCUUUAAGCUCAAAGCAAGGCAGUCAGAGCAAGCCGGACUCCAAGCCCCAGACUGGGAGAAGGGCGGGGGAGGAGGAAAGCAGCCACCUGGGUCGCACCUAGUCCUGCAGCACCCCCAGGGCAAGGUGGGGCUCAGUAACCCCUGGCAGUGUGGGCGGCAGCGGUGACCAGGGCCGCCCCUGGACGCAGGCCCUGGUGUUCAUCUCCCAUCAGCUCCACCUUGGGAAGAGGCUCGGGGUUUAGUCACCGCUCCCCCCCGCCCCCAUGCUUGGCCGUCGCUGCAGCCGGCGCUUGCCCCUUCCACUUGGCCCUUUUACCCGAAAGCACACAUUUUCCAUGACGUUCUUCAAUGAAAUAUUUGACAACAGUGCAGCCCAGGAAUUUACAGCUCUUCCCUGCAAGAUGGCUGGGAGUUUUCUGGCAUUUGCAGUACACGAAGCUCCAAGAACCAGCCCACCGGAGGGACACCCGGCCUCCAGCCCCCUGGGUCUGGUGCAGCCCCUUCCCGUGGAUACAGCCCCCAGAACCCCCGCAUAUGUUUGUCUCUGCUGAGCGGUGUUCGAAUGGGAGACGACUUCCUUGCAGUGCAUGCUUGCCCGUGUGUGUGUGUUUGGGGGUGCUCAAGGGGCCCCUGAGCCAGUUUCUGAGCUGAUGAUCUGUGCUGAAGUAGAGCGAGCACAGAAAGGUGCUCAGAGAGGGACAGGAGGGCUGUGGCCCCGGGACAGGCCCCCAACCUGGGGAUGAAGAGAAGGGUCCCAGACUACCAGCCAAAAGGAAAACAUAAAUUCAAUGCCAAGGGGCCGUUGCUUAGUAUUUUUCAGAUAUGAGGGGCCCCAAGAGGGAGGGACUCACAUGACAAGGGAACAGGGUGGGGGAACACUGCCGCCCAGAUGGGGCUCUGAGCCCAAGCAGCCGUGUGUGCCCAGGACCCUGUCCAAGUGCCCACCUGAGUGCCAGCUCACAGGCUGCAGAUGAGAAGAACGGGUGUUCAGGGGGACACCAACUGCACACACCUGACUGCCCGGGUGGAGGGGCUUCCCUGCUCCGUGCAGCCUGCCCAGGCUGCUGGCAACAGGACUCCCUCUCCCCAUGCCCUCGCCAGUCUAGCCCGGGCCUUUUGUCCCAGCCAGGUUGUAGCUCUGUGGCUCUAGGGACCUGGGCGAGUUGUGCCUGGGCAGGCCUGGCCCUGUGCACACCCGGAGGAAGCCCCUCUGGAGUUCAGCCCACCCUUGGGCUAGGGUGAUAGGGUCCCAGGGGAGGAAGCGGGGUAGCCAAGCCUGGGAGGGGAGUCAGGCAGGUGCACCAGAAAGCAGACAGUGCUGGAGGGAGAGCCCACACCCGAGAUGAGAUGGGGAAUUUCAGGCAGCAGGCUGAGCGCCCCAGUGGAGUACGGCCCGUGUCCACAGGACAGGGUGGCAGGGCACGGCAGGGCCAGGCCCUGGGGACAAGGAGGCCCAUUAGAGCGGGCCCACCCCAGACCGAUGUAGCACCUGUCUCUCCUUAGCUCUGGCCUCAGGCAAGCGCUUCAGCCUCUAGCGCCUCAGUUUCCUCUUUGUGCACCAGGGGAACAGAGCCAACCUGGAACCAGAGGAGAGACACAGGGCUUGCGCUGCAGUUGUGAAGGGGCUGGCGGCCUUGUGGAUGAUGGCAUCGUAAAUUGAAAUCCAGACCAGGGGGGAAUUGUUAAACAAACACCUGCAAGUGAUGAGGAGCUUGGGCCCUGUCUGGUUCCACUCAGCUCCACGGCUGUGCGGCCCUGGACGGUGGUCUUACCUCUCUGAGCCUCCUGUUCCUCAACUGUAAAAGAAGGGCGAGGGUGGUACCUCUCUUGGGGUAGAUGACCCCACAGUUGCCCACUGUGGUUGUUAUUUAGAGUUUUGGGGGGCUGGAGGGUAAGAUGCGUACCUCCCUGAAUGUCUGGGAGCCCUGCUUGAGAACCGGUGGCCUGAAGACCAGCUGCCCUGACUCGGCCGGCCGAGGGCUCCGAGUGGCCAGGGGCCUCCCUGGGUCUGCCGAGAGUUCAGGGUGACACAGCAAGGACGUUCAGAGCUCUCUGGGGAGUGCCUCUGCCAGCUCCGUCCUGCCACCCUGCCUUCUGUUCUCCCUGGUCCCGGGGCAGCAGGGCGGCAUCUGCAGUGGGCUGCCCGCACGCAUGUUCGCCUGCUGUGUGCAUUCUGGCCGGCCUCUCUCGGAGCCCCUUUUCUCCUCUGUGAGAUGGACAGAAUUAUAGGGCCUCCACCCCCGGCUGCUGUGCAGACCAAAGGUGGCCAGCAUCCCCCUCGGAGAGCCCGGCACCUGCUGUGUGUGGCACCAUGUGGAGAACGUGCUGUCAUUCUUGGAUUUGAUGCUGAAUCCGCCUCACAGGCAGGAGAGCAAGGCACAGCUAGCCGGCCGGGUGUGGUGGGAGGACUCAUUUUAAGGGUGCAGACAGGAGGUGCCCCCAAUUCUGCUUAGGUGGCAGGGCAAGCUUAACAGCUCUUUGCACACCCUCCCGACCCCAGUUUCCACUGCACUUAAUAACAGAAUAACAGCCUCCAGCCAGGUCCGAGGGAGCAAGUGGGAGGCAGGAUCAGAAGCCUCCAGGAGCCCCCCGACUCCGCCCGCUUCCCGGCACUGCUCCCCACGGCCCAGUUUCUGAGAAAUGCCUGGGAGGCUGAGGGUGGAUGCCUGGAGCCUCCCACCCGACAGCUGCACCCUGGGUGGGGACAAAGCCCCUCCUCUGGUGCCCCUUCCCCAGGUCCCCAGAAGAGUCUGGCCCUGGCUCCUUUCCUGCCAGACCAGAGCAGACGGCCCUGAGCAAAGGGCGCCGGGCAGCCUCAGCUUAGGUCCCGGAGGGCAGCAGGGACCUCCCAGCCACCGCAGAAGCAGGCCCUGGGCGGUCCUCGGAGGGGCUCCUGACCGACAGGCACACUGCACCCUGGGGCCCCGAAAGCAGCCCUCACCCAGGGCAAGGAGCUCCUUGUAAUUUAGGAGGCCAAGGCAGGAGAAUCAAAGCUCCAGCCAGCCUGGCUAACUUGGCAGGAGCCUGCCUCGAAGUAAAAAUCAAAAGGGUGGGGAUGUAGCUCAGGGGCUGAGCGCACGGGUUCAAUCCCCAGGAAGGCACAAAGUAAGAAACUGCUACUAAUAAAACACGCCCGUCCCUUUCUGUGAUUAUUGUUUUUGUUUCUUGGUGUUCGUUCUCUCUCUUACAGCCCUCGGCUCUCGGCUCUCUAACUUCGUAGAAUUUAAAAAUCAAAUGAAGGCAAAAACAAGACAGCCAUUUAAACCUUCCGGUCCUUUUCUUAUGAAAUAUAUUUUCUCAGUGCUUGAACACACCACUUCUUUAGGCAAUCGGAUUGCUCUCAGAGUCUGGGCAGAUUUGCGUCUGAAGUGGGCUCGCUGGUCUACUCCUGUACCCCAGCACCCCCUUAACCCUCACAGCGGGCAUUUUUUUCUUUCCAGUGAGCCAUUAAUUACCUGCAAAAGCUCCGUGCCCAGCACUCGGAGAGGAUCGAGGCCGGCCGCUUUAGAAAGCACACACCUGGAAUUAUGUCCAAUUUUGUGUUGUGUCCCUAGGUCAGAGGCCCCUUCCUGGCGUUCUCCAUGCUGGUGGAGAAAGACUUCGCCCCUUCUGGUUGCACGCCAGCGUCCCCUCGGCCGGGUCACUGUUUCCCCCACCAAAUUGGGCUGAGACCCAUUUAAUUCGCCGUGAAAACUAACUUAAUUAGGAGCCGAGUGCGCUCUUGGGUGGGAGGCAGCAGGCUCUUCGCCCAUCUCCCUCGCUGCCCUCCGCUCUCCGCAUUUGCAAAGCCGCCCUUCCCCGCGAGGAGCCGGGCUGCCUGCCUCUCACUUUUCCUCAGGUUGCCGGUCUCAGGUGGAAUCUCAGGGGCUGGCUUUCGGCGGAGGCGGUGCCCUGAGCCCGUGGGAAGCAGAACCCGCUUCUUUCCGAGCCCCAGGCUCCUGGUGCCCCAAGUGCCUCUGGCCAGACUCCGCCUGCCGGUGACGGCCUGGACAGCUCCGGGUCCUACAGCCCGGGUGGCGACCGCUGCGCUGGUGUCGAGAUGCCACAGUCCUUUAACCCUGGUUCAGGCUAAUGACGGGUCCUGCCUGCGUGAAUGCCGUGUUUAUUUUACCUCCACCAGCUCAGGGGAGGGGGUGCACCCGGGCGCCCGGCAAGGGACGUGGAGCCACAGAAGCAGAGCCCGCUCUGCAGGCGAAGGGUCUGCGCAUCGCCUUCUCCCUCACCGGGCCGCCGCGGCGGAGAUCAAUGCGACUCAGCCUCGUGUCCUGGGGAGCCCAGAGCUGCAGCCCCGGAGCGUGCAGGACUCGGGGCGCCCAAGGCCCGCAGCCCUGGGAGGCGCCUUCUGGAAGUCAACUCCAUGCACUCUCCAGCCGCUCGCUUGGCUGUGGGACAGGGAACCAGGGCACCCUGGACCGCGAAGGUGCUGCAGGACAUGGGCCUGGAUGCAGUGCUGCAUGCUGACUCAAGGAUGAUGGCGCUCUUCCAAGAGGGAUCUGGGAGGAGGUGACCUAAUCGGAAGGCGAUUCUAGAUGCGGAAUGUCUAAUUUGACCAACACUGCAUCUCCACCGAAACCAGCCCUGUCCUUGUCUUCCAGGACCUGAGGUGCAAAGGACACAUCCGGGCUGGGUGUGCUGUCCUCCUUACUUUAUAGGUUUUAUUUUUUCCAGGAUUAAAAAAAUACAGUUACCUUUCUUGAGCUCACAGGGGCACCCAGGGUGGAUUUCCAGGGGCAGGAAGCUGUGCAGAGUUCAUUGGUGGAAAGGAUGAAUUAAGAGAAAACCACUCAGAGGAACAGAAAGGCAUCCUAGGCAUUUGAGGCCAGGAGCAGAGCUGAGAGGGCUGUCUCCCUCUUUCAUUGUAUGGGCUGCCCCGACAAAGCACCGUACAUGGCCUGGGCGGCUUAUUCCCGACAGACGUGGAUUUCCUGUUCCAAGGCUGGGCGUCCAAGCUGGGGUGCACCCGGCGGCCUGUGCUCGCUCCCCACUGCCAUCUCCUCACAUGGUGCGCUUGCCCUGUGACCAGUUGGGGGCAUGGGCCUCUGGCCCCCUGCAGUCAUCCUUUCGGUGUCCAGCACAGCAACAACCACAGACAUGGCAGGAAGGCCUGUAGCCAGGAGAGGGGACCCCAGCGCACCCCAGGAGCUGCCCCGGAGCAGCCCGCUCCCCAUGACUGCGGCCACAGAGACCGUGAGAAGCAGCGAGAGACACUGCUGAGGCCACUGCAUUCUAGCGUGGUUUGUUAGGCAGCCAGAAGCAACCAGAAGAAACCGGGUUUAUGUUUUAAAAAUAAACAUUUUAUUGAAACAUCACAGGGAAGGGACAGGGAAGCCCCCCGCCAGGGCAGCAGGCCCAUCAGGACGCAGCGUGUGCCCCUGGACGGCCCCCGGGGUGACCCCGCAGCCCACAGAGUGGCCUGGCAGGCGCAGAGGGAGACACAGCUCCCGGGCCAGUGUAGGUCUGCUCGCCCCUCCCUGUGGUGCACUAGGUCCCGUGGUGGCUGCCCUGAGCCUGGGCUCCCUGGUCCUCCUGGCCCGGUUGUGCUCCACGACGCAGUGGACACAGCUGUUGUCCCUUCUGCUGCAGUCACUGAGACCACCUGUGUGGGGUGUUUCUGCCGGGGGCUCAGGCCCUCGCCUGUGCACACCCCAGUCAGGGCUCGGUGCCCUCACUGCUGCCUCUCUCCCAGGGCCCUCGACGCUGCCACUACUGCCUGCUGGUGGCCUGGGCAGCUGGGCCAGCUGCCAAGUGACGCUGGCUCCUUUGGUUCCGAGUCAUGGACUUUAGAAGGUAGUACCCUGAGCCACAUGGGCGCCCCGCACCUGGCGCCCCACCUGGGAAAGCCCACCUGGUGUCCCCCACGGGUCUCUCAUGACCACAUGCAUCGGCGGGGCCUGGGGAGGCCCGGCCCGGGAGCGCUUUGUGCAGGGAGGAGUCCUAGGCCCCGGGCGACGGUGCCGGGUGGGAGACACUCAGAGCAGGGGGUAGACCCUCAACGCAGGACGCCGGGGUCAGGGCUGCUGCCCCAGGGGGUGCACGUGUACAUGGUCCUCGGCUUCUCGUGCCCACUCGAGGAGGCAGUUGGCCACACCUUCCAACUGCCAGCUUCCAAGACAGAGAAGACAGCGUCUGCUGUUUUAAGCCACCAGUCCAGGGGCUAAAUCCAGAUUUCUGUGCCUCAUCUUCCACAUAGGAAUAUAUGCAUGCUUUUGCUAAAUAAAGACAUAGCAUUAUAAGUCUGUAGGUAAUGAGUCAAAUUCAUUGACUUGUGUUAGAAAGAUAGGAUUUUCUUCGUGCAUUUUCUGUGCUGAUGCAGAUAGAAAACCAAGACCACAAAGGGCCCCUCUUGUUUUAAUUGUUUCAUUCCUUUAAACAACAAACACUGGCUGAAACAAACAGAAAAGUAUUUUUUUCAUGAACCAAACAGAAAGGGAUCAGUGCACUUAACUGAUCACCCGUUCCCACCAGCGUAGAGACAGACGCGGGCCUGAGACAGAGAUGUGGGGUGCGGCAUCUGGGUUUUGGGGUUUUCUCUUCUGAGGGAUGAGACAGGAGCCUUCCGAGAAAUGCACCCGGCGAGCCGCCCCAGGCCGCUGUGUCAGCCCUGCCGACUGCCUGAGGUAUGAGCUGAUCUCCGGCAGCUCUGCUUCGCCUGGGCCUCAGCUGCAGGCAGGAACCUCCACCCUCCAGGGUCAGAGUCCUCUCCUUGAGAGCAGCUCAGUCUGUUUUCUGUUGAUAGAACAAAAUAACCAAGGUGGGGUACUUUAUAAUUUGUUUAGCUCACAGUCUUGGAGGCUGGGAGUUCGAAACCAGCUGGCCCCUUCUGUUUGGCCUCUGGCCCCCUUCCCCUGCCGCCCCCACCCUGCAACAGUGUGUCACCAUGCAGCUGCCAGUAGCAUCCUGGCAGACAUAGGAAGCCAGACGGGAGCAGGGCAGACUUGCUCUUUUAUAACAAUCAUUUGCAUAAACCCCACCCAAGGGCACACCUCCAGGGACCUAACCACCUUACACUAGGCUCCUCCUCUUAAAGGGGCCAUCUGUCCCAAGACCUAGGACACACCAGUCAGGAGCUCCAGCCCUUCUGUGUGGAGCCAGCAGAACCCACAUCUUUGAAAAUUCACUCGUGUUCCCCAAACACUUGGGAAUCCUGCCCUCAGACUUGCUGUGGUCCAGUCUCCUUCAUCUCCCCACAGUUGUAAGACCUAGAUCACUCUCUUCCCCUCUGGAGUUUCUCCUCCAGGAACCUAGUGAGAGUUUCAGAGUGAGCACUGCAGAAAAUCCCUAGCACUGUGAGAAAGGAGCCGUUCUGACCACAUGGGAGCUCUGUCUGCCUGGGCCAGUUAGUGCCACACUGAUCGUGGGAAGGGAGACACCAGCUCCAGACCUCCCAAAUACUGUUCCACUGGGGAAUGGGGCCUGAGACACACGUGGGGCAUCCAUCGUCCAGGGCUUGGGCUCACUGGAAGACUGAGACCCACCCACAGGACUGAGGAGAACUUCCUGCAUUCGGCAUAUCACUAAGCACAUCAUGUAGCACCUCAUGGCUGACAAGCAGGAAACAAGUACCAGGCAUACUAAAAGGCAAAAGCAGAGUUUGAAGAGACAGAGCAAGCACCAGAACCAGACUUACAGGGCACUAUGGCUCCCCAAGAUGUGGCACACUGGAGAUUUAAACAGUAUGAUGAGCCCUUGCUGCCAGGCCUCCUGGGUCUCCACAGGCAUAGGACAUUCACAUUUGUAGACACUGAGUUCCAAGGGAGGGGCCGCCUGGGGUGUGCAUAAGCAAGUCUGCCCUGUGAAAGCCUCCUCCACAGCCCAUGCAGAUGCCAGCUGCCUUCGUCAGGGAUGUGAGGCUGCACUUUCUGUUGGCAGGAAGCUGUGACUACUGUGCUGUUGGGAACCAUUAAACCAUUGUUAAUGGGUUCAUUCACUUUUUUAGGUUAAAAGUCAUGGCCAAAAAGAGGACUCUUUUUCUGAGUUGAUCUGGAGGGGAGAAUCAGAAACAAACAAGGAGUUGUAGGAACUUGGGUUUGGGUUCAAGAUAAGGACGGAGUUGGUAAAGGUGGGUGCCUCCCAGCAGUGACCCCCAGGGUCAGAGUGCCCCCGACACAGUGCUGAAGCAGAGGCUUGGCAUCCUUCACAUACCUCCCCACGGGAAGCAGCAGGUCUCACAGCCCGAGGCUGGCAAGUCCAAGGUGAAAGUGCUAGCUACUUCCAGCCCAUGGAUGGUGCACUGUUGCUGUUCUACAUGGCAGAGAAAGACAGAGUAGUAGAAGUGGGAGAUUAAUUUGCUUCAGGGAAUUGGCCCACACUGUUGGGAGGCCAGGCAAGUCUGAUGUCUAUAGGGCAGGCUGGAGGCUGGAAACUCAGGCCAGAGCUGCUGCUGGUUUUUUCCUCUCCAGAAGGCUACUGUUCUGCUCUUAAGGCCUUCACCUGAUAAGAUGAGGCUCGCCACACUGUGGAAGGUCACCUGAUUUACUUAAAGCCAGCUGACUAACCACAGCUACUGAACAUCUCCGCAGAAAUGUUCAGAUGAGGGCUUGAUGCGGGAGUGGGACAGCAGCCUGGCCACAUGGACAUGCAGACUUGGGUAUGCCAGGGAGGUGAGCUUGUCAAGGUGGCAGAAAGCCAAAGCCACGACCACUAGCUUCCUAGGCUUCCUAGAGCUUCCUGGAGAGGACCCUGCUCAAGGCCCAUCACCCAACGUGGACAGGGUGACAUAGCAAUGACACCGAGCACUGGCCAGGCACCAGGAGCUGCUGGCCACCCCAUGAGUAUCAUUAACCCCUUCAGUCAGAAAGCUGGGUCAUCGCAUUUUGCAGAUGCAGAUGCGGUCACAACCAAGGACCCCACAGGGCAGUGACUCACUUGGGGUCACAAGGUAGGCACAGGAGCCAGGACUUAGCCAGGUGCUGUGCCUCUAGAGUCUGCUGCCUCUGCCGUGGCACACGACACUUUAGGAUGUCACUCUCUGACAGACUCGGGGCCGGGAGCGUCGGCAGACUCCAGAUCCUGCCCAUCCCACCCCAGGACGAGGGUGCCUCUCCUUAUCCAGAGCAGGACAUAAGCCCCACCUUAGCCCCCGGAAUAUUUUGGGAAUCCGUGUCUGCUGAACACUUUGGGGAAGCGUGAAAACAGUUUUUCAAAUGCCAGUUUUGGUUUUUUUUAAUCAAUUGUAGGUUUGCCCUUGGGGUAACAAACAUAAAAUCCCAAACUUUCAUCCCACUGGAGCAAAUAAAAAUUACCUUGUUUGGUUUUUUGUUGUUGUUUUUUCUUUUUUGAGACACGGUCUUGCCCAGGCUGGCCUCAGACUCAUGGUGAUCCUCCUGCUUCAGCUUCCGAGGGCUAGGAUUUGCAGGGAUGCACCACCACCCCCGGGUUUCCCCAUUAGGUUUCCAAUAAUUGUGCCGUGGCUUUGGAUUGGAAUCCAGAUGCCACCCAGGGAGACCUGAGACCUAGGACAGGGGUCAGAUGAACUGGGUGCAUCAAAAUGCCCAGGAAAGGUUCGGCCUUUGACCAGGCGCAGCGUGGGCAGCGGCACUGGCUGCUGUGCCUACGAGUGGCAUUGUACAGGCAGAGCCACCCAGUGCUCCGGCUGCCCGGGAACAAGGUGCCCCACAAGCUGGGGAGAGGAGUUCCACCCAGAGCACCUGGACGUCAGGACAGCGGUCCCCACAGGGCAAAGCCCUCAGCUCUGGCCUCAGGCUCUGCAGGUGUCAACUCACUGUGGCCGCCCCAGCAGCCCCUCCAGCUUCGGGUGUCCCGGGCUCCACCCUGCUCUUCUGGCUUCUCAGGCCCAGGCCCGGCCUGCUGGAGGGCGGCUCCGUGCAGCAGCCUGGCCGGAAACGAGAGUCUCCACCGAAUGCACCGCGCCACGGAAACCGCGGUGAAAUUGCUCCCUUCCUUCUAGGGCAGCCCCAGGAGGCCCAGGGACAAGAGGGCAUUGUGUUGGGGGGGACCCCUCCCCGGCACAAAGGGCGUCUUUCACGGCUGCUGACUGCACAGGCGGGUGGGAGCCCCAGGCCUCCUCAUUCCUGGGCUCCUGGCACUGUGCCCCAGGUCAGAGCUGCCGCCCUGGAAGGAGCCAGCUGCAGAGACCCCGGCCCUGGGGCUGGCAGAGCUGUCCUGCUGGCGCUGGUUGGCUGGGACACGGCUGUCACUGCGCUGAGCUGUCCGUCUGGGAAAGUCAUCUGCGUAGGGAAGGGACCGUGUGUGGAUGGCUGUGUUAUGGGGUGAAGGGCUCUGGAAAAGACACAUGGGAGGGGGAGCCCCAUACCCUGGGGGAGCCUGGAGCUCGGAGGACGGGUGGGCGGGCAAAGAACUCAUACCGAGCUUGCGGACGGGACCGUGAACAGGUUGGAUACAAAGCCCUCUCGGUCCUGCAAAAUCUCAGGCUCUACUCAGUCCGGGAGGCCCAGGCAGGCAGGGCUUGAGUGGCGAGUGUGCGUGUGUGUGCUCGUGAGUGUGUCAGGAUGUGAGUGUGUGUGUGUGUGUAUGUGUUGGGGAAGAUCUAAAAAUGUAAUUGCUUUCAGCAGAACACGGCCCACGGUGUAAUUAAAGCGAGGGGGCUGCCGGCUCCUAGAGUUUAAGUGAUUUCAUGUGCAUUUGGUGAUUAUGCCCCUCUCUUGGGAUAAAAGUGCGGCUUCUAUUUUCACAUACAAAAUGGUUCCCAGACCAGGAGGCAGGGACUCAUUCCCUGCCCGCCUGGGCAUGAGGCUGGCCGGGCGGGCCGAGGGGAAGCUGGGCCUCGGUGGGUGCUGGUGAGGGGCCGGGAGAGGAGGGACUGAGUACAGCUGCGUCCCCGCGGUGGGACCGGGCUGCUGGACUUGUGCUGGCCGAGCCAGGGUCCCCUCUGGGGAGCUGCGGCCCCAGUCCCUCAACCCCCAACCUGUUAACACCCUCGGCUGUGGCCCCGCAUGACCUCGGGCCAGACCAGCGGUGCCCACUUCCUCUGGGUGGGAGGCCCCACCGGGCUUCCUCAGGGGCCGACAGGGCAGCUCCGACAGGGACCUGAGCCAGCUGCAGCGGGGAGAGCAUGGACUGGGAUUCUGUCCCUUCACAGCGUGCAGAAAAACGGUUGACAUAAAUUUAGAACUUUUCAAACUGUUUUUAUGUUUCCCCCUCUUUCUUGCCUGUUCCAUGCUGGCCUCUGUGGGGUUUUUGUUUUGCUGGUCGGUAACUAUCGAAAGGUACUAAUCCUUAGUACCAAACCCAAGGGGCGUUGGGGAGGUACCCCUGGUGACUCAAAAUGAACUCAGUGUGUCCUGGCCUGGGGCUGUGGCGUCUGAAGAGCCCUGAGCUGCCUUUCUGUGGUGCAUAACACUGAGGUAAUGAAAACGAGCAGCAUCCGCGUAGGUACCGGCCCUCCCUGCGCUGUGCUCUCUGCCGUGGGCCUACCGCCUGGCGCUCAGUCAGGCUGAGGCCACUGGAGGGGCCUUUGGACCAGACGCACGUUUCAGGUCAGCCCCGCCAGCCAGAAACCCUCCCAGAGCGAGAAAGGAAGCUGGGCUCCAGGGUUACCAGCCCAGUGGCCCGCACCGGCCCGCUGGGCUGCGUGGCUUUGGGAGGGCCGCUUCCGUCUCUGGGCCGCAGGCGGUGAGCGUGGCGAUGGUCGGCUGGGGCCUCUGGUGUGGCUGAGGGCAGCCGAGGGUGUGACCGCUUGUGCCAGGCUCGGGCCGGGCAGCGGAGGGGCCAGCUCCGGUUGGAUGUCCCGAUGUGGCUCCGUUUGCAUCUCAUCUGAUUUUCCUGUGUCCGCGUGUGCAGCACUGGGAGUGGAACCCAGGGCCCCCACGCCCAGCUGCACUGCCCUGUGUGCUCCUUGAGUGCCACGGAGUCGGAGUCGGGAGUGGCGUCUCCUCCUCCACAGCCACCACCCAUGCCUUCUCUGUGGCUGAUUUGGAGCACUCCGGUAGAGGCUUUGCGUCUGUGUUAACUCUUUCAAAGAACUCGCUUCUGGCUCUCACUGCCCUCUGUCGCUUGUUUUCUAUUUCCUUGAUUUCUGCUCACAUCUUGAUUAUUUUGUCCUUCUGUUUACUUUCUGUGCAGCAUUCUUCUUUUUCUAGCUUCCUAAUGUAGAUGUUUACCCCAUUAAUCUCAGUCUUUCUGUUACUAACUUCACAUUACAUUCCCAAGGGCCCC